rnacentral:rRNA from 1 species
GAUGAACGCUGGCGGCGUGCUUAACACAUGCAAGUCGAACGGAAAGGCCCUGCCUUUGUGGGGUGCUCGAGUGGCGAACGGGUGAGUAACACGUGAGUAACCUGCCCUGCACUUUGGGAUAACUCCAGGAAACUGGGUCUAAUACCGGAUAGGAGCUCCUUCUGCAUGGUGGGGGUUGGAGAGUUUCGGCGGUAGGGGAUGUGCUCGCGGCUUAUCAUCUUGUUGGUGGGGUAGUGGCUCACCAAGGCUUUGACGGGUAGCCGGCCUGAGAGGGUGAACGGCCACAUUGGGACUGAGAUACGGCCCAGACUCCUACGGGAGGCAGCAGUGGGGAAUAUUGCACAAUGGGCGGAAGCCUGAUGCAGCGACGCCGCGUGCGGGAUGACGGCCUUCGGGUUGUAAACCGCUUUCGCCUGUGACGAAGCGAGAGUGACGGUAAUGGGUGAAGAAGCACCGGCUAACUACGUG